GACUGCGUACCUUUUGUAUAAUGGGUCAGCGACUUAUAUUCUGUAGCAAGGUUAACCGAAUAGGGGAGCCGGAGGGAAACCGAGUCUUAAUUGGGCGUUAAGUUGCAGGGUAUAGACCCGAAACCCGGUGAUCUAGCCAUGGGCAGGUUGAAGGUUGGGUAACACUAACUGGAGGACCGAACCGACUAAUGUUGAAAAAUUAGCGGAUGACCUGUGGCUGGGGGUGAAAGGCCAAUCAAACCGGGAGAUAGCUGGUUCUCCCCGAAAGCUAUUUAGGUAGCGCCUCGUGAAUUCAUCUCCGGGGGUAGAGCACUGUUUCGGCUAGGGGGCCAUCCCGGCUUACCAACCCGAUGCAAACUGCGAAUACCGGAGAAUGUUAUCACGGGAGACACACGGCGGGUGCUAACGUCCGUCGUGAAGAGGGAAACAACCCAGACCGCCAGCUAAGGUCCCAAAGUCAUGGUUAAGUGGGAAACGAUGUGGGAAGGCCCAGACAGCCAGGAUGUUGGCUUAGAAGCAGCCAUCAUUUAAAGAAAGCGUAAUAGCUCACUGGUCGAGUCGGCCUGCGCGGAAGAUGUAACGGGGCUAAACCAUGCACCGAAGCUGCGGCAGCGACACUGUGUGUUGUUGGGUAGGGGAGCGUUCUGUAAGCCUGCGAAGGUGGCCUGUGAGGG
rnacentral:rRNA from 1 species